AUUGUUUGAUUUUCAGAUCUGGCUGAGCUAGGGUUUUAAGAGUUUACCUUCUCUACAUAUUUGUCACGUGUUAUCGUAUCAGUCUCACAAGUUGCGUCAUUAGAGGGUAUACAUGUAAAAGAAAAAGGCAUUUCAACAGUUUCCAAAAACUUGUGCACGUUUACCUACUAAAAGGAAGUCCAACAGGUAAUGGGACUUUGAGUAUAUAUAGUAGUAACGACACAGUAGUUUUCAACACUUCAAGUACCAAAUCCUGAAACCUAAUCCGUAAGUGGGAAGAAAAAUGGGUAGCUUCUCCCAAGUUGCAAAAGCUUGCAGAUCUAUGAAAUUUGUUGUGGUUCAAGACCCUCUCCAACGAUUGGCGAUUAAACGGAGGAUGAAGCAAAGAUCGAAGAUGCUGCGGAUGAGGUUGAAGAUGAAGAAAGAACGGAUUACCAAGUUGUGCACUGAGUGGGCUUUGCAUGUGGUGGAGGGUGUUGCAUGCGCCUGGGAAAGGGGAAGUAAGAUUCAGAACAUAGCAGGGGUGUGGCAGAAUGAGAUGCUUGGAAUCAGGUGGUCGGGAAAGCAUCAGGAAUUGAGGGCUGGUUUGAGGUUUGCUGUACUUGAAGACGUCGAAUUUGUAACUCAUGUUCUGGGAAGUGUUGGACUGGAGAUAAACCCCAGAAUGAUAGAAAUAUCCAAUUCAGUGUAUAUUGGGAAGAUUGUCUUUUAAAAUGAAAGUGAAUGGAUGAUAUGGACAGAGUUGGUGAAGAAGCUGAAAAGAAUGGUUUAAAGAAGAUGUAUUGUUGGGGUAUUGAUGGCUAUGGUGAAUGAAGGAGUGCAAAGUUUUGGAAGAACAGUAGAUUGUUUUGAAUGAUGUUGCUGGGUUUUUUUUUUGUUUUAGUUGUAUGUGGUUUAAUGUUAUGUUUCAGACUUUUUAUGUUUGUUAUUCAUAGUUUCUCUUUGGAUUGAAACAGUUAAUGUUUUCAUGGCUACUUUAUAAUUGCAAUAUAAUACUGGUAUGCUUUGCAACAAUGUGUGAAAAUCAAAUGGAUGAGCAUGGUUUAAAUUUAGUGUUA